rnacentral:lncRNA from 1 species
AGGGCAGUUUCCCUGUUCACCACUUGGAAAUCACCAAUAAAAUGCAACCCUUCCAUUUUGCAGAUGAAGAGACUGACAUCCAAAGAGAGACCCUGGCCAAAGCCACCUAGACAGUGACAGAGCUAGGACCAGCCCAGCCUCCUGGUCCCACCCCAGUACUCUGUCAGGACAGAAACAACCAGGACCAUAAAGCAUUUGUGAGUGUAGGUUCCAUUCCCAAUGCUAACUAGAGCAACUCACAGUUACUAGACUCAGCUUAGUGGCCUUUGGAUAUGGGUCCAACUGUGGGAAAAAUCACGAUGAAAGGAAAUGUAGUCUGAUAACCCCUUGCCUCUUUCAGGUCAAGAUGAAAGUACUUAGAUGGGUUAGUAAUGUAUGUUACUAACACCUCAGUAUAUGCAAAAUCCAUAUCUGUUUUUUAAAAGAGGAUCCACCGGGAGAAGAACCCAAAGAAUGUCUUGUGAGACUUCAUCUGCUAAUAUUUAUAAAGCAUCUCAAACUUCUUCAGUGAAAGGUGACAAUCUGUAAGCACCUUGAACUGCCAUUGACAACUGACAUUUAUUGAGCAUGGACUUCGGAUCAGACCGUGUACCAGAUUCUUCAUCCCCUUUCUGGACCCACUAUCUCCUCAAUAGCCAAGAGAUCUUGAUGUAUCAAAGUCCCAUAAGGGGACUCCAGCUGAGAUUCCCCCCAGGUUCUCUCACUUUGAGGCUUCUUUCUGACCCAGGAGCUACUUAG